AAAGAUUAAGCCAUGCAUGUCUAAGUAUAAGCAAUCUAUACAGUGAAACUGCGAAUGGCUCAUUAAAUCAGUUAUCGUUUAUUUGAUAGUACCUUACUACUUGGAUAACCGUGGUAAUUCUAGAGCUAAUACAUGCUAAAAAUCCCGACCUCUGGAAGGGAUGUAUUUAUUAGAUAAAAAACCAAUGCCUUCGGGCUCCCUGGUGAUUCAUGAUAACUUUACGAAUCGCAUGGCCUUGCGCCGGCGAUGGUUCAUUCAAAUUUCUGCCCUAUCAACUUUCGAUGGUAGGAUAGUGGCCUACCAUGGUUU
rnacentral:rRNA from 1 species